rnacentral:tRNA from 1 species
GCCGGAGUGGUGUAGGUGGUCUGCACGUAUCUCUGAAAAAGAUAAGGUUGCGGUUCAAUUCCGCGCUCCGGCACCA